rnacentral:rRNA from 1 species
CACGCUGUAAACGAUGGGUACUAGGUUUGGUAGGUCUUGACCCCUGCCGAACCGGCGCUAACGCACUAAGUACCCCGCCUGGGAAGUACGGUCGCAAGACUAAAACUCAAGGGAAUUGACGGGGGCCCGCACAAGCGGUGGAUCAUGUGGUUUAAUUCGAAGCAACGCGAAGAGCCUUACCUGGGUUUGACAUCCCUGGACCGACGUAGAGAUACGUCUUUCGUAGCAAUACGACCGGGAGACAGGUGCUGCAUGGCUGUCGUCAGCUCGUGUGGUGACAUGUUGGGUUAAGUCCCGCCACGAGCGCAACCCUUGUCCUUAGUUGCCAGCAUUAAGUUGGGCUCUCUAAGGAGACUGCCGGUGUUAAACCG